rnacentral:rRNA from 1 species
UACAGAGACUGCAAGCGUUAUUCGGAUUCACUGGGCGUAAAGGGUGCGCAGGCGGCCAAGUGUGUUAGGCGUGAAAGCCCGAGGCUUAACCUCGGAAUUGCACCUAAAACUACAUGGCUAGAGUACUGGAGAGGGUAACGGAAUUCACGGUGUAGCAGUGAAAUGCGUAGAUAUCUGGAGGAACACCGGUGGCGAAGGCGGCAUCCUGGACCAUUACUGACGCUGAGGAGCGAAAGCCAGGGGAGCAAACGGG